rnacentral:rRNA from 1 species
CGACUCUCGGCCACCGGAUAUCUCGGCUCACGCAUCGAUGAAGAACGUAGCCAAAUGCGAUACUUGGUGUGAAUUGCAGAAUCCCGUGAACCAUCGAGUUUUUGAACGCAAGUUGCGCCCGAAGCCUUCUGGUUGAGGGCACGUCUGCCUGGGCGUCACG